UACGGAGGGGGCUAGCGUUAUUCGGAAUUACUGGGCGUAAAGCGCACGUAGGCGGCUUUGUAAGUUAGAGGUGAAAGCCCAGGGCUUAACCCUGGAAUUGCCUUUAAGACUGCAUCGCUAGAAUCGUGGAGAGGUGAGUGGAAUUCCGAGUGUAGAGGUGAAAUUCGUAGAUAUUCGGAAGAACACCAGUGGCGAAGGCGACUCACUGGACACGUAUUGACGCUGAGGUGCGAAAGCGUGGGGAGCAAACAGG
rnacentral:rRNA from 1 species